rnacentral:tRNA from 1 species
GGUCUUAUAUUCAAUAAUGAUUUUAGACUGCAAUUCUAAAGGUGUAGUUUUACUAAGACCU